UACAGAGACUGCAAGCGUUAUUCGGAUUCACUGGGCGUAAAGGGUGCGCAGGCGGCCGAGUGUGUGAGGCGUGAAAAGCCCCGGGGGCUUAACCCCCGGAAUUGCACCUCAAACUACACGGCUAGAGCAUUGGAGAGGGUAGCAGAAUUCCCGGUGUAGCGGUGAAAUGCGCAGAUAUCGGGAGGAACACCAAUGGCGAAGGCAGCUCGCUGGGACGGUACUGACGCUGAGACGCGAAAGCGUGGGGAGCAAACAGG
rnacentral:rRNA from 1 species